GCAAUACCAACAAUGAUGUUGCCGACUAUGUAUCAGUUGAGGCAAACCUUGAAGAACCGGUAGUUGAAGAAAAACCUGAAGAAACAACGGUUGAGAAGAAACCUGAAGAACCAUCAAUUGAGGAGAAACGUGAAACACCAGCAUUUGAGAAGAAACCUGAAGAACCAAUAAUUGAGGAGAAACCUGAAGAACAAACAAUUGAAGAGGAGAAACAUGAAAGGAUAACUCUCCUGGAAAAGGUGAGGAUCAAGCAUUGUCACAAAGUUUAUCCAUCUUGUUAGUCGUGUAUACGAUACAAUUUACAUAUGCUUACCUACUGAAAGACUAAGUAAGACUUUAAAGUUCUUCUUGCAGAGUAUUCCAGUUGUAGUCCCGAACGACAAAACUGAAAGUAAAACUCCAAGCAUUACAAACAAUAAUGCUGCUCACUUUUCAGAAGUUGAGGAAAACCCUGAAGAACCUGCAGUAAAAGAAAAAACUGAAAAACCAGUUCUUGAAGAGAAACCUGAAGAACCAACAGUUGAAGAGAAAUCUGAAGAACCAGUUGAGGAGAAACCUGAAGAACCAACAGCUGAAGAGAAACCUGAAGAACCAGCAACUAAAGAAAAACAAGUGCUAGUAGGGGAGGAAACAGCUGAAGAACUAGCGCUUGAAGAGAAACCUGAAGAACUAACGAUUGAACAGACAGAUGAAGAACUAGUUGUUGAAGAUAAAACUGAAAAACCACCAAAUAAAGAGGAGAGACCUGAAACGGUAACUCUCCUUUAGCAGUGUCACAGAGUUUAUCCAUCCUAUUAGUUCUAUAUGUGCAACGAAUUCAUAUCUGUUUAUCUAUUGAAAUACUAAGUGAAAAUUCAAAUUUUCUUGCAGAAUUUGCCCAUUGCAGACUCAAAGGACCAGACUGACAAUGCAAUUCCAUGCGAUACCAACAAUGAUAUUGCUGACUAUGCAACAGUUGAGGAAAAACCUGAAGAAACAGUAGUUGAAGAAAAACAUGAAGAACCUGCAAUUGAAAAGAAAUUUGAAGAAUCAACAGUUAUGGAGAAACCUGAAGAACCAGCAGUGGAAGAAAAACCUGAAGAACCAACAGUUAAAGAGGAACCUGAAAAAUCAGUGAUGGAAGAGAAACCUGAAGAACCAAUUGUUGAGGAGAAACUUGAAGAACCAACUGUUGAAGAGAAACCUGAAAAAUCACUGAUUGAAGAAACACCUGAAGAACCAAUAUGGGAAGAAACACCUAAAGAACUAGCAUUUGAAGAGAAACCAGAAGAACCAGCAGUUGAAGAGGAGAAACCUGAAAAGGUAACUCUUUUGGAAGAGGUGAGUAUCAAGCAUUAGCACAUAGUUUAUCCAUCAUGUUAUUUCUGUAUGUGCAUCGAUUCACAUCUGCUUAUCUAUUGAAAGUCUAAAUGAGACUUUAAAUUCUUCUUGCAGAAUAUACCAGCUGUAGAUUUCAACGACAAGACUGACCGUGAAAUUCCAUGCGAUACCAACAAUGAUAUUGCUGACUAUGCAACAGUUGAGGAAAAACCUGAAGAACCGGUAGUUGAAGAAAAACAUGAAGAACCUGCAAUUGAAAAGAAAUUUGAAGAAUCAACGGUUAUGGAGAAACCUGAAAAACCAGUGGUUAAGGUACAACCUGAAGAACCAGCAGUGGAAGAAAAAGUUGAAGAACCAACAGUUAAUGAGGAACCUGAAAAAUCAGCGAUGGAAGAGAACCCUGAAGAAUCAAUUGUUGAGGAGAAACUUGAAGAACCAACUGUUGAAGAGAAACCUGAAAAAUCACUGAUUGAAGAAACACCUGAAGAACCAAUAUGGAAAGAAACACCUAAAGAACUAGCAUUUGAAGAGCAACCAGAAGAACCAGCAGUUGAAGAGGAGAAACCUGAAAAGGUAUCUCUUUUGGAAGAGGUGAGUAUCAAGCAUUAUCACAUAGUUUAUCCAUCCUGUUAUUUCUGUAUGUGCGACGAUUCACAUCUGCUUAUCUAUUGAAAGACUAAAUGAGACUUUAAAUUCUUCUUGCAGAAUAUGCCAGCUGUAGAUUUCAACGACAAGACUGACUGUGAAAUUCCAUGCAAUACCAACAAUGAUGUUGCUGAAUAUGUAGCAAUUGAGGAAAACCUUGAAGAACCAGCAGUUGAAGAAAAACAUGAAGAACCAACAGUUGAGGAGAAACCUGAAGAACUAGCAGUUGAAGAGAAACCCGAAAAACCAACAAUUGAGGAGAAACAUGAAGAACCAAUAGUUGAGAAGAAACCUGAAGAACCAGUAGUUGAGGAGAAACCAGAAGAACCACUAAUUGAAGAGGAGAAAUCUGAAAGGGUAACUUUCCUAGAAAAGGUGAGGAUCAAGCAUUGUCAAAAGGUUUAUCCAUCUUAUUAGUUGUGUAUGUGCGACGAUUCACAUCUGCUUACUUAUUGAAAGACUAAGUGAAACUUCAAAAUUCUUGCAGAGUAUGCUAGUUGUAGACUCGAACGACAAGACUGACAGUGAAAUUCCAUGCAAUACCAACAAAGAUGCUGCCCACUUUCCCGAAGUUGAGGCAAACCCUGAAGAACCAGCAGUUGAAGGAAAACCUAAAGAACCCGUUGAUGAAGAGAAACCAGAUGUACCAGUGGUUGAGAAACCUGAAAAACAAAUGGUUGAGGAGAAACUUGAAGAACCAAUGAUUGAGGAGAAAUCUGACGAACUAGUCGAGGAGAAAUCUCAACAACCAGCGGCUGAAAAGAAACCUGAAGAACCAGCAGCUAAAGAAUCACUUAAAGAGCUAGCAGGGGAGGAAACAACUGAAGAACUAGCACUUGAAGAGAAACUUAGAGAACCAACAGUUGAAGAACUAGUUCUUGAAGAUAAACCUGAAAACCCAGAAAAUGAAGAGGAUAAACUUGAAACAGUAACUCUCCAGGAAAAGGUAAGAAACAAGCAGUGUCACAGAGUUUAUCCAUCCUAUUAGCUCUACAUAUGCAAUGAAUUCACAUCUGUUUAUCCACUGAAAGACUAAGUGAAACUUUAAAUUUUUCUUGCAGAAUUUACCAAUUGCAGACUCAAACGACAAGACUGACAAUGCAACUCCCUGCAAUAACAACAAUGAUAUUGCUGACUCUGCAGCAGUUAAGGAAAAAACUGAAGAACCAGUAGUUGAGGAAAAACAUGAAGAACCGGCAACUGAAGAGAAAUCUGAAGAAUCAGAAUUUAUGAAAAAAACUGAAGAACCAGCGGUUGAGGUAAAACCUGAAGAACCAUCAGUGGAAGAGAAGCCUGAAGAACCAGCGGUUAGGAAAAAUCCUGAAGAACCAGCAGUUAAUGAGGAACCUGCAAAAUCAGCAACGGAAGAGAAACCUGAAGAACCAAUUGCUGAGGAGAAACUUGAAGAACCAACUCUUAAAGAGAAACCUGGAAAACCAGUAAUUGAAGAAACACCUGAAGAACCAA
rnacentral:lncRNA from 1 species